GAUGAACGCUGGCGGCGUGCCUAAUACAUGCAAGUCGAACGAGGUGCUUUUGUAGCAAUACGAGGGUAUCCUAGUGGCGAACGGGUGAGUAACGCGUUGGUGACCUGCCCCGAAGUGUGGGAUAACAGUCCGAAAGGAUUGCUAAUACCGCAUGUGGCCAUCGGGUUUAGAAACCGAUGUCUAAAGCAGCAAUGCGCUUUGGGAGGGACCUGCGUCCCAUCAGCUAGUUGGUGAGGUAACGGCUCACCAAGGCGACGACGGGUAGGGGGCCUGAGAGGGUGGCCCCCCACAAUGGAACUGAAACACGGUCCAUACACUUACGGGUGGCAGCAGUAGGGAAUAUUGCACAAUGGGCGAAAGCCUGACGCAGCAACGCCGCGUGAGCGAAGAAGGCCUUCGGGUCGUAAAGCUCUUUUCUGGGAGAUGAGGAAGGACAGUAUCCCAGGAAUAAGUCUCGGCUAACUACGUGCCAGCCGCCGCAGUAAGAC
rnacentral:rRNA from 1 species